ACUUGAAUAACUUAAAUUAAUAAAGUUUAACUCUGAAGAAGUUAUUAUAGGAGUAUUCCUUUCAAGUA
rnacentral:tRNA from 1 species